rnacentral:lncRNA from 1 species
ACCGCGCGGCCGCCAGCGCCCGGGAGCGCGUCUCGGGCUGGAGCUCAGGAAAGGCCGAGAAAUGCACCGGCCAACGGCCAUCCGCUCUCCCAGAGUCCCUGAGGCCCCGCACUCCUGCUGCUCUGCGUGAUUUUGUCGCCCCCUGCGGCCACCGGGCCCGUGCCUCUCUUCUCCCUGGAGCCCCUCGACUCAGCUUGAAGCCCCAGGUAUGUGGUUUGACUUAGAUCGGGCCUCCUCUCCCCCAGUGUCGCCAGCAUCCCGCGUUUCCUGUCCGAGGCGCAGAGCUAGCGCCUAAGGUGCUAGAAGAGAGAGGAUGAUUUGCGGGGUGCGCUGUGGCGCGGCCAGGCCGGGAGAACAGGGGCCCCCUGGGAAACUGGGAGAGCCCCAAACUUCCUAAAAUGCCUACUCUUCUAGACCUAGUCUGGGGUGCUGGGACUCAAGACACGGCCCAGGAACUCAGUCUGGCCGGGAGACUGCUGUGCAGGCAGCACCCCACAGAGAGCCUAGUGCUGAGGCAUCUGAUCUGGGACGGGUGGCCUGGACAACCUCUCCAUAGAGAGGUCAGAUGUGAGAUGGCCUUUGAGAAAGUUAGGAUUUAAUUCCUGAUCGCUGUUGGUCAUUUGAGGCUGGCUGUCCUUCUGGUCACCUUACCUGGAUCUUCUGUUGUCUUUGUGUAACGUGACCCACCAGGAAGCUGUCUUAAUCGAUUUCUUCAAAAACCUCUACCUAAAAACUUGGGUCAGCCUGCCUGCCUGGUCCAGUCUCUCUGCUAAGGGCCAGACCCACAUCUCAACUUUCCAGCUGCUUGCCAGACUUGCCACAAACACUGCAACUCCCAAAGGCCCCAGACUGAAUGAGCACUGGACCCCUUGGCCAGUUGCAUCUCAGCUUCCUCAUUCCUGAGACCAACACAUCUACCUCCCCAGCCCCUAGCUCUGAACACUUAACUCCUUCUUGUCUCCUUUUCCUUUCUUCUCUUUGAGUCAGGUAUUGAGUUGAUCUCAAAUGCCCUAAUUCCACAUGACCCCAGUCUGGUGGUUUUCCAGCAGGGAUUCCAUGCUGCUUCCCCUGCUCUGGUAGGACUUGGCAAAAAGUUCUUUUAGGAGCUCCUUGAGCUCUCGCCUCUGGAUUUAUCUUCCAUGCAGGCACUGGCUCUGCCACCUAGCCCACAGCUGACACUAACCCUGCUAAGGUUCCUGGGGUGUGGCCACUCCCAGGGGCUGGCUGGACUGCCAGAGGCUCCCUGAAGCCAGACAAGUGUGAAAACUCUCUGCUCUUUGAGCUGAGGCCCCAAAACACACUAAAGGAGCUGGACCUUUCUGGCAUAACAGGUUCUGCAAAGAGCACAGGGUGAGCGACCUGCAUGGGUAUCAGGUGCUCGGCUUACCACUAAAAAAGCAUCCUUGAGGAGUUCUCGUCGUGGCUCAGUAGUUAAUGAAUCUGACUAAGAACCAUGAGGGUGCAGGUUCAACCCCUGGCCUUACUCAGUGGGUUAAGGAUCCGGCGUUGCCGUGAGCUGUGGUGUAGGUUGCAGAUGAGGCUUGGAUCCUGUGUUGCUGUGGCUGUGGUGUAGGCCGGCGGCUAUAGCUCUGAUUAGACCCCUAGCCUGGGAACCUCCACAUGCCGCAAAUGCGGCCUUAGAAAAAAAAGACCAAAAAAAAAAAAAAAAGCAUCCUUGAGACAAGUUAAGGUCAAUAAGAAAAUGUACACAUAUUUUCUUAUCCAGUUGAGCUGUUUUUAUUGAGUGAACUCAGAAUCCUUUGUUAGUAAUUCAAAUAUAAGAUAGAAUUUUCAAGGCCUUUUUUGAGGAAACAUCUUUGUAUUCAAACAGUUACCCAUUCCUGUAGAUGCAGCAGAAGUCAACAUGGGUGGCAUGAGCCAGAGUAAACAGGGCUUACAAGCUCAGAUCAGAAAGCUAGGAAGAGGAGUUCCCAUCUUGGCACAGCGGAAACAAAUCCAACUAGGAACCAUGAGACUGCAGGUUUGAUUCCUGGCCCCGUGAUCUAUGAUGUAGGUCACAGACAUGGCUCCAAUCCAGCAUGCCUGUGGUGUAGGCCAGUAGCCAUAGCUCCUAUGCCACUGGUACAGCCCUAAAAAGCAAAAAAAAAAAAAAAAAAA